GGCGAGUCCAGAAUGAAUGGGGGCCAACGGGGUUUUAUCCUCAGAAUCCACUUUUCUCACGAUGUAAUUUUUUGUCAAGUAAUUUUAAAGUUGCUAUCAAAGGGUGGGGCUAAGAUAAUAAACUCAGCUGAAUAUCGCAUUUUUUAAGGUCACGUAUCUGUUCUAAAAAGGCGUUAAAAACAUGCGAUGACGUCGCACACUGUAAUGCUGUCAGAGAUAGGCCUACUGCUUUACGGCAGUUUCUAAAGCACUUCCCUUGUCCCGCAACGAUAACACCAGCUGUUGGAGUCGGACCUUGAUGCUGUGACAACGGACAAGUCUUCUUCCUCUGUCCUUUUCCCCUGCCUCUGUUCAAAAUAAAUACGCCACUGUCGCUACAGUUCGGCUAAAGUGACACACCAAGUCCCUGUGUCCUACUCCAUUUCACAACACACAACGCAGAGACAGACCGGUUACAUUGGUGCCGUGACCCGGAUUGACGUCGUGGACCAACACCAGCUUGGUCACCGGAGGUUGUUGGACGACAGAACAACGACGAACGAAAAAAAG
ensembl:lncRNA